CGGCGAGCGGCGGACGGGUGAGUAAUGCUGGGAAAUUGCCCAGUCGAGGGGGAUAACAGUUGGAAACGAACUUGGCUUUAAUACCGCAUACGCCCUUACGGGGGAAAGCAGGGACUUCGGGCCUUGCGCGAUUGGAUAUGCCCAGGUGGGAUUAGCUAUUGGUGAGGUAAUGGCUCACCAAGGCGACGAUCCCUACUGGUCUGAAGGAUGAUCAGCCACACUGGAACUGAGACACGGUCCAGACUCCUACGGGAGGCAGCAGUGGGGAAUAUUGCACAAUGGGGGAAACCCUGAUGCAGCCAUGCCGCGUGUGUGAAGAAGGCCUUCGGGUUGUAAAGCACUUUCAGCGAGGAGGAAAGGUCAGUACUAAUAUCUGCUGACUGUGACGUUCUCGCAAAAAGCACCGGCUAACUCCGUGCCAGCAGCCGCGGUAAUACGGAGGGUGCAAGCGUUAAUCGGAAUUACUGGGCGUAAAGCGCACGCAGGCGGUUGGAUAAGUUAGAUGUGAAAGCCCCGGGCUCAACCCGGGAAUUGCAUUUAAAACUGUCCAGCUAGAGUCUUGUAAGGGGGGUAGAAUUCCAGGUGUACGGUGAAAUGCGU
rnacentral:rRNA from 1 species